CUGAGCAGAGAGCCCUAUGUGGGACUCGAUCCCAGGCCCCUGGGAUCAUGACCUGAGCCGAAGGAAGCUGCUCAACUGGCUGAGUCACUGAGGUGUCCCUGUGUUUUUU